rnacentral:rRNA from 1 species
GCAGUAUUUUAACUGUACUAAGGUAGCAUAAUCAUUAGUUUUUUAAUUGAAAGCUAGAAUGAAGGGUUGAAUGAAAAAUUUACUGUCUCUAAUUAAUUUAUUAGAAUUUUAUUUUUAAGUUAAAAAGCUUAAAUAAUUUUAAAAGACGAGAAGACCCUAUAGAGUUUUAUAUGUUAGAUUUUUAAAUAUUUGGUAAUAAUUUUUUAAAAUAAUAAUAUAUUUAAUUGGGGUGAUUUAAAAAUUAAUUAAACUUUUUAUUUAUAAAAAUAUUGAUUAAUAAAUUAAUGAUCCAAAAAAAAUUUUGAUUAUAAGAUAAAUUACCUUAGGGAUAACAGCGUAAUUUUAUUAAAGAGUUCUAAUCGAAAAUAAAGUUUGCGACCUCGAUGUUGGAUUAAAAUUUAUAUUUGGUGUAGAAGCUGAAUAAUUAAGUCUGUUCGACUUUUAAAAUUUUAC